AUGGUCCAGGUGAAAGUAGGUGUCCCAGAGUCCAGAGGACAGAUCACAGUGACUCAGCCUGGAGCAGAGAGCUCUGCUGUGGGAGGAACUGUGAGCAUCAAGUGUACGACCAGUCAGAAUGUUUAUAACUCUAACCUUUUAGCCUGGUACCAACAGAAAGAUGGAGCAGUACCUAAACUGCUCAUUUACUCUGCUAGCAGUCGAGAAUCAGGGAUUCCAGCUCGUUUUACAGGCAGUGGAUCAAACUCUGACUUCACUCUGACCAUCAGUGGAGUCCAGGCUGAAGAUGCAGCAGUUUAUUACUGUCAGAGUUAUCACUACAUCAACAGUCAAGCUGUGUUCACACAGUGA